GCUAAUGCGUGUAGCUUACAUCUCACUUUAAAAUAAAUUCUGUAUAGUUGUGAAGUUGUCGAGACAGUGAUGAACUGCACCCAGUAUCGUCAGAAGUUAUGUUCAUUUUCCAAUUCAUAUAUCCUGAACUAAACAUUUUUUCAGGAGAGUUCAAUACCUCGUAGGGAUUGGCAACAAGGAUGAAGCGAAAAAGUCUCGAACGGCUGACCAGGAACUCCUUUGUUCAUUGGACAAAUGGGCCCCAGAGGGAUCCUUCAAACAGUGGAAAACAAAAUUUUCCUCCGAGUUGGUCAAUAAGAUGGACGCCAAGAACAAAGCCUACCCUGACAACACACUGGGAUUACUGCGCUUCAUACGGAACCUCGAUGACCACCAUGCCGUGGAGGCCGCUCAAGUUGACGUGUUGGCGCUAUUUCCUGAUCUCUUUGGAUGUGUUUUCAAGUUUGCCAAGACCAAAGGGUGGAAUUCAGAGAGCCCCUUGAAGGAAAUGUUUCAAAGAGAAGACAUCAGCUUUACAAAGCUGCCAAUAUGCCCUGAUGCCAUGGACGGAUCAAGAAACCACAGGCCCCGGUGCCUGGACGUGUCAAGCCCCCCCCCCGCAAAAAAAACAAAACAUCGCGAACAGUCCGUAUGGAACAACGAUACCGGAGCUGAGCAGACAACAUAAUAUCGAAUUCUAUGAUAGCAGGGACUUCGGUUAUAUGAAUUAAACGAAUAACUUUUGUAAUCGUUACAAGUUGUAACGAUUACAUGUAUAUGUAGAAAGAAACCAUCAUGAUACCGUAUCAUGAUGGUUUCUUUCUUGUGACAUCUUCAAAGUGAAUGUUUAGGCUAUUCUUUAGUUUUUCAGUAGGACUUUUGGGGCCCUGUGAAUGACAUGAAUGACUUAAGCCUAGCAUAUACCGGCUAUGGCGCAUCGUGUCAUAUCAAUACAAAGUUAAUAAAAGCGACUUCACGCAGAGGCUCUGGCUUAGGGGCCCCCUGAGCUCAUGGGCCCCUGGGCCUGGGCCCGGUAGGCCCGUUGGUUAAUCCAUCCCUGCCUGAUGCUGAUCUGGGUGUCCCUGUUCAAGAGUCUCAACCCGGGGACCUGAAGUGAAGUUUAAAUCAAAAUGGCAGAAAGACUUUAAGCAGUCAGCGAUGGAAAAAACACAGACACUUCAGAUGUUAUACUUUCUAAUCGUAGUGGUGUCUAGCCCAUGGCCCAUAGGAAGAACUUGGCAAAAAGACCGAACAGAAAGAAAGUCUAAUAGGUAUUUUUCACACAUUACAUUGUCUGACUUAUAAUAGAAGAAAAAGCACAUGUGUUAUUAAUAUCAUUAGCAAUGCCUCGGUUUCCAGUAAGCCGUGACAAGGACCCUGAAACCAGAGCAGCAAUGGAAAGCAGCCAUAAUUAAUUGUAUUAUUUUGUCUUUUUCCUAAUGUGACAUGUCUAUUAUACACAGUAACUAUUUUACGGAAAGUGACAGCAACAGUAAGUAUAUUAAAAAAUAAGGCUGUCGUACAAUUUUUAAGGGAAAUUUUCUUUUCAUAUUAUGUCCUCUCUCCACUGGCUCCCUGUUCGUUUUAGAAUUGAUUUUAAGAUUUUGCUGAUCACUUUUAAAGCACGUCUAGGUCUGGCUCCAAGCUACAUCAUUGAGAUGUUAGCCCCUUAUGAGCCAGCACGCAGCCUUAGAUCCUCCGGUGGGGCCCUUCUGGCCGUUCCGGAGUCGAGGCUUAAAUCAAAGGGUGACCGUGCUUUUGCUGUUAGAGCCCCUCGACUUUGGAACGACCUACCGGAGGGGAUAAGGCUCGCAGAAUCAGUAAACUCUUUUAAAUCACUUCUUAAAACACAUUUUUAUAGAGCAGCUUUUGAGUGAUCCAUUUAAUUUUUAAUUUUUAAUAUACUUGUAAAUGUAAUAUUGGUUUCUUGCUGUUCCAAUUGUUUGGCUUUGACUCUUUGUGGAGCACUUUGUAAACAUUGUUUUUAAAGGUGCUAUAUAAAUAAAGUUAUUAUUAUUAUUAUUAUUAUUAUAUAUUGUAUCCCUUUACCAUUUUUUGUUUGAGAUUUUAGUUAUUUUUUUAUAUCAUUACAAUUUUAAAUGUUAUAUUCUUGCUCAUUUCCAUGACAUUGCUUCACUAUAUCGGUCGAAAAGACAACAAAGGAAUGGAUAUAAUGAACUGUAAAAUAUUAUAUCCUAUACUGAUUUCUUUCACAAAAAGGAAAAAUGUUGUUAUUACUUUUAGUUUUUUGAGCUAAUGGGCCUUAUCCCAUGACUUGUGACCAAAGCCUUUCAGAAUGAUUAUCAGAGGAGCAAAGAGGUUCAUUCUGUUUGACAAUAUUGAAUGUUGACUUCCAAGAUACAAAAUAUACAUAAAGCAUGGCCUGCAAUACCACGACAUGUUUUUCCUACAAAAACCUAAACUGUCUUUGCACGUCCUAUAAUUUUUUUUUUUUUACUGCAUCUUACCAUGCCAUUCAAAAAAGGAUUUUUGCCAGUCCUUUUAUAUAUUUUUUAACUGUCUCAUUAAGCGCACGUUAUUGUAAAUAAAUAAAAACAUAAUGGAACAUGCAUGCUUUAUAACAUGAUGACACGGUUUUAAGCAGAUUGAGUGUCUCUCUGAACAUGUACUGUAAGUAAGGGUAUCAAAAUAAACGGGGAAAAUUGUAAGAUUUGUUCUCAUGUUUCUGAUUAUAGCACAACCUUAGUUGAAGGUCAAGUCUCCAUUCUCAAUGACUGUUUUAACUUGAUUAAUUAAAGAAAAGUUGGAAUAUUUUUUGUCUAAUGUGAUGUUAAAAUAUUUCUCUAUGAAUCACAGUAACUGGUUCAGACCAGUUUAGAUACUGUAUACCCCCACACUGUGUUUUCAGGAUUUCUUGUUGUGAAAGGGGUGUAACUUUCAGAUGUGUAUGAAUGAAUAUGAUGCCUUUUCAAAUGUUGAGAAGCUUAUGCCACAGACUACCCUGAGUAACCGUCUGAUACUUUUCGCUUGCAAGCAUUAAACGGAUAAAGACAACUUUGAUUUCAGAGAAUUUAUUUCUCCUUUCCCGAUUGACAUAGAACAUCUUCCAUCACACUAUCAUCACAGCUAUUAUUAUUUGAAUAUUACAUUUAAUGUAUCAGACUUCUUACCGUUCCCAAUUUUGCAGACUAAAACACAUUGCUGCUUCUUUUGAAUUUUCCACACACCUUUAUGGUAGUAAUAGAAAAACCUGUUGGUACAACUAUUUUUCCAACAAAUGCCUGCAAUUAAAUUUCUUAAUUUCCAGGAAGCAAUGUUGCAAUUAUGCUAAACAUAAUAGAAUAUGUCAGCUUUAGGAAAUACUGAUGAUCUUAUUACUUUUUAAAUUUGUUGGCAUAUUGAAUAUUCUCAGAAUAUAGUGCACAAUUAAAUGUGAUUAUCUGGAGAAAUAUGUUCAUAAGUGUAUAUCAUAUAUUAGUAAGACAUGGUUGUAAGAUGUGUCAGUAGUUCCUCCAUCUCAAUGCACCCAACAUGUUCACAUCCUUUGACCGAUAUGACCGCGGGGACUUUUUCAGGGGCCUGGGAGCUUUUGUAGAAACAUGUAGUGAAUUUGUUUUGGAUAUAAAACAAUCCACAUAGUUGCAUUUUAGUUCAGAUGAAGUUCCUGUUCAGAUAGUUUCAUACAUUUUUUUAAACGAGAAUUUAAUUACUUUUUAAUUUUGAGGAACUAUAGGUGGCAAAGCUGAUAGAAGCACUUUUCAUCCAUUUAGUGUCGAGGUGAUGUCAGUCGAAAGUAAACCUGCUUAUAAGUUUGAAAAAAAUAACCACAGUUCUUGGACAACUGACAUAAUUCAACUUUUCUUUUUUGACUAUAACUAUGAAUAGGCUCCUCACCGCAGCAGCCAGUGGACUCAAACACAUUAUCUGAUAAAAGGACAUAAUUAAAAAAAUAUACACCAGUACCUGACAGAAAAAUCGUUUUACUAGUUUUGUUAUAUUCUCUUUUUUGGGAAUGUAAAAAGUCUGGUUGCUUAUCUAUGUGCAACUUACCGCCUGUCCUCCUACUGCGUGGUAAUGUGCAUGUUGUGGCCUUAUCAGCACUAGGGUUCUGGGUUCUGUGGUCACAGUGCCUCCAUCUGGCCGUGAUAAAGUGGCACACCCCUUUGCUUUUUCCAUACAGGGAAUGUCUUGAAAGCACAAACCUUUAAUUAACUUUGCCGAGACCCCAAUCCAUAGAGUGAGUGGAACAUGUUACUGUAGGUGCUAUAGAUUGUAUUGCGUACAGUAAACACUGAAGGAGUGUUUUUUUAGUUUUAGAAGGUGAAAUAUUCAGGAAAGUAUAUAGCUGAUGCCUUUUUAGAUAAACACGAGAAUUAAAUUACUUUUUACUUUUGAGGAACUAUAGGUGGCAAAGCUGAUAGAAGCCCUUUUCAUCCAUUUAGUGUCGAGGUGAUGUCAGUCGAAAAUAAACCUGCUUAUAAGUUUGAAAAAAAUAACCACAGUUCUUGCACAACUGACAUAAUUAAACUUUUCCUUUUUGACUAUAACUAGAAAUAGGCUCGUCACCGCAGCAGCCAGUGGACUCAAACACAUUCUUUGAUAAAGGGACAUAAUUAGUUUGUCGAAAAAAAUGAAGGAAACUAAAUGUUUAUGAAAAUAUAUUCAAUUUGAGAGGCUUUUUCCAUCUGCCAUUCUCUUCUUACUAAUACUGAAUGUUAACAUCAGAAUCAGAAUCAGAAUCAGAAUUGUAUUUAUUGCCAAGUAGGUUUACACCUACCUGGAAUUUGUUCUGGUGUAUAGGUGCAUACAGUGAACAUAAAAUGAACAUAAAACAUAGAACAUACAAACACAAUAAGUACUACAAUACAAAAAAAAAAGCAGGGCAGGAGUGCAAAAGUGCAUGUGCAAUGUUCAGUGUGCAAAGUAGUGUGUGCAUAACACAGGCUUGAGGUGUGGGGGAGGGGAGGUGACCACGUCAGGUGGGGGUCCGGGCCUUGUUCAUGAGGCCAACGGCAGCCGGGAAGAAGCUGGUUUUGUGGCGUGAGGUUUUGGUCCUAAUGGACCGCAGCCUCCUGCCGGAGGGAAGGACCUCAAAGAGUUUGUGACCCGGGUGGGAGGGAUCGGCCACAAUCUUACCUGCCCGCCUCAGGGUCCUAGAGGCGAACAGGUCCUGUAGAGAUGGCAGAUUGCAGCCAAUCACCUUCUCGGCAGAACGGAUGACACGCUGCAGUCUGCCUUUGUCACUGGCAGUGGCAGCAGCGUACCAGAUGGUGAUGCAGGAGGAGAGGAUCUGGUAGUAGUGGGGACGGGAGAGAGAAAAGCAGGAGGAUGAGGGAGAGGAUUGCAGAGAAGGAGGGGUUCAAAAUAAUUGUGAGAUUCAAGGACGGAAAUGACAUUCGGAAAAUAAGCCCGGUGGCGCUGACUUGAAGGAGAAAGUUGGCGAGAUUGUGAUGGCGAAGGUGCUGGCUGAUGGCGGAUUGUUGAUCCAGUGCAAGGACGAGGGGCAGAGAGGGAAAGCAAUGAAGCUGAAAAAAGUGUGCAAUAUAGUGGUUGAGAGCGUGAAGAAGCUGAAUGAUGGGCCCUUUGUUAGAGGCGUGAUAUACGGUAUCCCAGUGGAAGAGAACGUGGAGGAACUGAGAGCAAGUAUUAAAGGGGGUAAAGUUAUAGGGAUUAAACGUCUGCAGGCAAGACGAGGUGGAGAAAGGGUGGACAGUUUGUCAGUGCUGCUAGAUUUUGAAGAAAGGGUGUUGCCUGACUCAGUUACUGUGGGGUAUCUAAGGUAUAGAGUAGAGCAUAUGUCCCACCACCUUUGAGGUGUUUCAAAUGCCAAAAGUAUGGCCAUAUUGCGGCAGCAUGUAAAGGGAAGCAAAGAUGUGGAAAAUGUGGAGGGGAACAUGACUAUGGGAAAUGUGAGGCUGGGACAGAGCUCAAAUGUGCAAAUUGCGGAGGUGCACACAGUGUGGCCUCUGGUGGGUGUGAAGUGAGAAAGAAGGCAGUGGUAGUGCAGCAGCUGAAAGUGAAAAUGAAUAUAUCGUAUGCAGAAGCAGCAAAGAGGGCUCAGAGGGAAAGUGGGGGGGAAAGAGGGGGGAAGAUGUAGUAAGGAAGGAACCGGCUCAACAGCCAAGUGAACAACUAUCGGCUAAGAGUCAAAGGGAAGAUGAGAAUAUAAUGGCAGUAAAUAAGGAGAACUUUGUGUUUUUCAUGGCAGAAGUGGUUAACUGCACAUUCCAGGCAAAAGGGAGAUCUGAGAAAAUUGAAAUAAUAGUAAAAAGUGCAGCAAGAUACUUAAAUAUUCAUGGAAUAACUGGGAUGGCGGUACAGGAAGAGUUUAGGAAACAGGGGCAGUUAACCAAAGAAUCAUGCUCACAGGAUUAAUCAUCAUGUUAAUUCUACAAUGGAAUGCUCGGAGUUUGUUGGCAAAUGGACAAGAAUUCAAAAAAUAUGUUGGGGAUAUUCCUAGUAAGCCAGAUGUCAUAUGCAUACAGGAAACAUGGUUAAAACCAAAUUUGGACUUCAGACUAGCUGGAUAUGCGUGUGUUAGGUGUGAUAGGGAGGGUGGUCAGGGAGGAGGAUGUGCCACAUUUAUUAGUGAAGACGUCACAUUUAGAGAGGUGAAGAUAGGGACCGAGCUUGAAUAUGUAACUGUGGAGAUCUGGGCAAGGGAAGGAGAGGUCAUAGUUGUAAUUUUUUAUAAUUCCUGUAAAAAAUUUGAGGUGAAUAGAUUGGCACAAAUUGAAAGGAUAGGUGGCAACAAGGUGGUGGUAUGUGGAGAUUUUAAUGCACAUAGUACAUUAUGGGGUGGAGCAAGAACAGAUCUCAAUGGGGAGGUAAUGGAAGAAUUACUAGAGGAACACAAUUUGGUUUGUUUAAACGAUGGCAGAGGGACUAGAUUAGAUGUGCACACAGGGAACAUGUCGGCGCUAGACUUAACCAUUGUAUCUAGGAGUUUAGCAGGGAUAUGCGAGUGGGAGGUAGAAGAGGAAACGUCAGUGGGCAGUGAUCAUUUUCCAAUAAAGUGUAAAAUAGCAUGACAAAGGAGUAAGGAACAGGGAGAGGUGAUAGGUAAGUGGGUGUUUAAUAAGGCAAAAUGGGAACUUUUCAAAUAUAUAUGCGAGCAAGAAAUGGAUAAAAUAGACUUAAAUGAAGAUAUUGAGGAGAUUGAUACAAAAAUGACAGUUACAAUACUGGAAGCAGCGAAUCAAACAAUUUCUAAAAGUAAAGGAAGGAUGAAAAGAAAGGCAGUCCCCUGGUGGACUGAGGAGUGUGGGAGAGCAGUAAAAGAAAGGAACAAAGCUCUGAAGGUUUGGCAAGUGGGG